GAUGAACGCUGGCGGCGUGCCUAAUACAUGCAAGUAGAACGCUGAAGGAAGGAGCUUGCUCUUUCCGGAUGAGUUGCGAACGGGUGAGUAACGCGUAGGUAACCUGCCUGGUAGCGGGGGAUAACUAUUGGAAACGAUAGCUAAUACCGCAUAACAGUAGAUGUUGCAUGAUAUCUACUUAAAAGGUGCAAUUGCACCACUACCAGAUGGACCUUCGUUGUAUUAGCUAGUUGGUGAGGUAACGGCUCACCAAGGCGACGAUACAUAGCCGACCUGAGAGGGUGAGCGGCCACACUGGGACUGAGACACGGCACAGACUCCUACGGGAGGCAGCAGUAGGGAAUCUUCGGCAAUAGACGGAAGUCUGACCGAGCAACGCCGCGGGAGGGAAGAAGGGUGUCGGAUCGUAAAGCUCUGUUGUAAGAGAAGAACGAGUGUGAGAGUGGAAAGUUCACACUGUGACGGUAUCUGACCAGAAAGGGACGGCUAACUACGUG
rnacentral:rRNA from 1 species